UACGGAGGGUGCAAGCGUUGUUCGGAAUUACUGGGCGUAAAGCGCGUGUAGGCGGCCAAGUAAGUCGAAUGUGAAAUCCCUCGGCUCAACUGAGGAAGUGCAUCCGAUACUGCUUGGCUUGAGUCCCGGAGAGGGAUGUGGAAUUCCCGGUGUAGAGGUGAAAUUCGUAGAUAUCGGGAGGAACAUCAGUGGCGAAGGCGACAUCCUGGACGGUGACUGACGCUAAGACGCGAAAGCGUGGGUAG
rnacentral:rRNA from 1 species